GGUGACAUAUCUUAGACGGUAGAGCGCUCGCUUUACAAGCGAGAGGUACGGGGAUCGAUACUCCGCAUUUCCU
rnacentral:tRNA from 1 species